CAGCCGCCGCGGGAAUACGAAGGGGGCUAGCGUUGUUCGGAUUUACUGGGCGUAAAGCGCACGUAGGCGGAUCGAUCAGUCAGGGGUGAAAUCCCAGAGCUCAACUCUGGAACUGCCUUUGAUACUGUCGAUCUGGAGUAUGGAAGAGGUGAGUGGAAUUCCGAGUGUAGAGGUGAAAUUCGUAGAUAUUCGGAGGAACACCAGUGGCGAAGGCGGCGACCUGGUCUUUAACUGACGCUGAGGCGCGAAAGCGUGGGGAGCAAACAGGAUUAGAUACCCCUGUAGUCCCUGUCUCUUAUAC
rnacentral:rRNA from 1 species